GUCCAGACUCCUACGGGAGGCAGCAGUGGGGAAUAUUGCACAAUGGGGGAAACCCUGAUGCAGCAACGCCGCGUGAAGGAAGACGGUUUUCGGAUUGUAAACUUCUGUUCUUAGUGAAGAAUAAUGACGGUAGCUAAGGAGCAAGCCACGGCUAACUACGUGCCAGCAGCCGCGGUAAUACGUAGGUGGCAAGCGUUGUCCGGAAUUACUGGGUGUAAAGGGAGCGUAGACGGCAUGGCAAGUCAGAUGUGAAAGCCCGGGGCUCAACCCCGGGACUGCAUUUGAAACUGUCAGGCUGGAGUGCAGGAGAGGUAAGUGGAAUUCCUAGUGUAGCGGUGAAAUGCGUAGAUAUUAGGAGGAACACCAGUGGCGAAGGCGGCUUACUGGACUGUAACUGACGUUGAGGCUCGAAAGCGUGGGGAGCAAACAGGAUUAGAUACCCUAGUA
rnacentral:rRNA from 1 species